rnacentral:lncRNA from 1 species
GAGGCCACGGGGACAGCAAACCCUCGCAGCCCUGUUGGGACUCGCAGCCCCCGCGGGUCCCGUGGACCAGCCUGCUCUCUGGGGCGUCUUGGUUGGCUUGCACAGGGUGCUGGCGCCAGCAGCCACCACCUAUCUUCAGAGCACACACAGGGUUCUGGGGCCUGCACCGAGGAAUGACAGGCUCAGAAGGCAGCUUGUUUAGGGCAGCGCUGGGCCGGAGUCCGCGUCUGACACUGGGCCUGGACUUUCUCACUCGGGGACCUGGGCCUCGGGGUGUUGUCAAAACAAAAAGGAACCAGAUGGAGGAACAGCCUGUGGCCGGCUCACAAGCCGAGCAGAGCCAGGGCCACCGCCCAUCCAUACCACAAUGGCCAGAGGCAGGGCUGCCUCACAUUCAGAGUCCAGUGCCGGUGUCUGAAUCUGUAACCAUGGCAACGAUGCUAGCUGGAAAGGGAGUGGACACCUGGGCACUGCUGGGUGCUGCUGGCCACUGGACUUGUACAUGUGAGGCUUCAGGCCCAGCUGAGGUCAUCAGGCUGAUGCACCCUCCCUGGCAUUCUGCGCAGAAGUGCUGGGGCCACAAGCCCACCCGAGAGCCAGCUGCCCGUGGACAGACAGGGCAUUCAAGGGAAGGGCCACCAAGGCAGGGGACAGAGAAGCAGCCAGGACGGGACAGCGUGGCUGGUGGUGCCCACAGGCCAGCCAGGGAGAGACUCUGAUUCUGGAGGCCACGUUGGCGGCCAAGCCUUAUGGGGGGAGGCUGAGCACGGGCCCCGAGGCAGGGUGGCUUGCUCCACCUGCAGGCCACUUAUACACUCAGACUUGGAGGUGGCUGGUGAG